CAGCCGCCACGGUAAUACGAAGGGUGCAAGCGUUACUCGGAAUUACUGGGCGUAAAGCGUGCGUAGGUGGUGGUUUAAGUCCGUUGUGAAAGCCCUGGGCUCAACCUGGGAAUUGCAGUGGAUACUGGGUCACUAGAGUGUGGUAGAGGAUAGUGGAAUUUCCGGUGUAGCAGUGAAAUGCGUAGAGAUCGGAAGGAACAUCUGUGGCGAAGGCGACUAUCUGGGCCAACACUGACACUGAGGCACGAAAGCGUGGGGAGCAAACAGGAUUAGAUACCCGCGUAGUCCCUGUCUCUUAUCC
rnacentral:rRNA from 1 species